UGUUACUCGGCACUUUCAUAAGUAGUGUGAUAUUUUGCAAGAUAAAGAAUAUAUUUUUCUUGCUGACAUAGCGACGAAACCAGAAGAUGUUAAUACCUUACCAACAGGAGACGGUACAUCUUUGUCUGAAGCAACAGGUGUUCAAAAAACAUCCGCAUUUCUAAUUUACAACGAUACAUUCAUAAGCAGUACAGACGGUACAGUAAAUAAUCUGAUUAGUUCACCUGACAGUUAUGACGUCAUUAUUCCUAUAAGUGUAACAGUUACAAUUGUAAUCUUAGUGGCAGUAAUCGUUAUUGUGAUUUUGAUGUUACGAAAAAGAGGAAAGAUUCCAAGUACGGGAAUCAAAUGUUCUGCAUUAAGUAUUUGUUUUAGAAGAACUCCUGAUCAACUUCCAAGUGAAACCAAUGCCGCUUACGAAAACUUUCAAGAGGCCGGUAAUGAACGCAUUGGUGAACUAAAUUACUAUGUGAAUGUAGACGCAAGGCAAGACCUCCAUUUAGAUAACAUAAAUACUUAUUGCAGUAUCGAUCCGGUUGCAAAGGAAACUGACACAUAUGACAUUCUUGAUCCAAAUAAAACAUAACGAUUUAUUAAUAUAAAAAAUGACAUGAAUAACAAUGUUAAGAAACAAUUUGCACACAACGUUAUAAACAUAUUACACGCACCGGCUUUAACUUGUCGAAUUCGCUUAUAGGGAUAAAGUCAAACUACAUCGGCUGCUUCAAUUAUGUGUAUGUAACUAUUGGCAGGUACAUGCAGAAUAUUAACCUUUAUAUUCAGUAUAGUAUAGGAUUUGGAUUAAUCUUAGUUUUUAUAUCGGUGCUUUAAGAAAUGUUUCGCUUCAAGCGUUCUCAUCUUGUUAAAAGAGUAUCAGAAUGGAAUCAGGCUGCUCCUCCUGUGUUUAUAUGCAACUGUUCAAGGAAAUGAUUGUCUAAAUAAUCAGUUACAAAUUAAUCUGCGAUUACAUCCUGUCAGUUAGUUAAUUGUAUAUCUGUGUCUUUUUUAUGAAUGUUUUAUGGAUGUUUUAGUUAUUUACGAUAAUGAUUAUUGACAAAGUGAAUAUAAUUCAUUUGUUUCUUUAAAAUUUUUAAAAAGUGACACUAUAAAGACACUUAUUCUACGAUAUUUAUUGACUUUCUUAACGUUGUUUUCUUAUUUUUCUAACUUUAUGAAUUCAUAGAAUUCGAAUUAUUAACACAGGUCUCUCUACAAAUUACAUUUUGAAGGGGUUUUAUCAGGUUACAUACUUAAAUUAUAUUAAAC